GACGAACCGUGCGAACGUUAUUCGGAAUCAUUGGGCUUAAAGGGCGCGUAGGCGGCGGUGUAAGUUGGAAGUGAAAUCCCAUCGGCUCAACCGUGGAAUUGCUCCCAGUACUGCAUCGCUCGAGGGGGAUAGGGGUCUGCGGAACUACCGGUGGAGCGGUGAAAUGUGUUGAUAUCUGGAGGAACACCGGUGGCGAAGGCGGCAUCCUGGACCGGUAUUGACGCUGAGGCGCGAAAGCCAGGGGAGCAAACGGG
rnacentral:rRNA from 1 species